UUAUUAUAAACUUAUUACUAUCUGAUAGAAGCAUGUUAAAAUAUUUUUUUUCUGGCUUUUUCUGCAAUUUCAAAGCCUCAGAAAUGACUAAUUUAUUUAAAUUGUUCUUCCAGGUACAAAACCUUCUUCAAUAGAUGGAAUCCAGACCAGUGAAGAUUACAGAUUCUAUGCUAUAUCAACUGGGUUAAGUGAAUUGAGUAUCAAGGACAAGACAUUAAAUUAAAUCAAAACUCAUGGGGUUUGUCUUAAUGUUUUUCCUGUUAUUUUUUGGCGAAUGUUAAAACAUAAUUUGUGGAUAUGUUAUUUUGUAGUUAAUGGUAAUUGUAUAUUAAAUUGAAUGGGAAAGUGAAUUAAUGUUGUAUUUGCUA